rnacentral:rRNA from 1 species
GGGGGCCCCCAGGGGGAAAUCCUUCGGGGAGGCAGCAGUGGGGAAUAUUGCGCAAUGGGGGCAACCCUGACGCAGCGAUGCCGCGUGAGUGAUAGAAGGCCUUCGGGUAGUAAAGCUCUUUCAGUGGGGACGAUUGUGACGGUACCCACAGAAGAAGCUCCGGCUAACUCCGUGCCAGCAGCCGCGGUAAUACGGAGGGGGCGAGCGUUGUUCGGAAUUACUGGGCGUAAAGGGCGCGUAGGCGGUUUGGCAAGUCAGGAGUGAAAUCCCAGAGCUCAACUCUGGAAUGGCUCUUGAAACUGCUUUACUGGAGUCCGGCAGAGGAUGGUGGAAUUCCCCGUGUAGAGGUGAAAUUCGUAGAUAUGGGGAGGAACACCAGAGGCGAAGGCGGCCAUCUGGACCGGUACUGACGCUGAGGCGCGAAAGCGUGGGGAGCGAACAGGAUUAGAUACCCUGGUAGUCCACGCCGUAAACGAUGAGUGCUGGUUGUCGCGGGUAUCGACCCCUGCGGCACCGAAGUUAACGCGUUAAGCACUCCGCCUGGGGAGUACGGCCGCAAGGCUAAAACUCAAU